UUGAGGCUAGAAUGAAUGGUUUGACGAAGGUUAAUCUGUCUCCAUCUUAUUUUUUAGAAGUUAAUUUUUAAAGUGAAAAAGCUUAAAUUUUUCAAAGGGACGAGAAGACCCUAAUGAGCUUAUAAUUUUAUUAUCAUUAUUUAAAACAUUUAGGUGGUGGUAUAUAAAUUUUAAUUGGGGUGAUUAAGGAAUAAAUUGUGUAUAGUAACUUCCUUAAAUUAGGUAUUUGUAGAUAAAGUAACCAAUGUAAUAUUGCUUAUAGUAUAGUUACCAUAGGGAUAACAGCGUAAUUUGUUUAGAGAGUUCUUAUUGAAAAACGAGAUUGCGACCUCA
rnacentral:rRNA from 1 species